rnacentral:ncRNA from 1 species
AAAAUUUAUUAGGGUAGUAAAUUAAGUAUAACUUAAAAAAUCACAAUUUAAAUAAGAGUUUGAUCCUGGCUCAGAAUGAACGCUAAUGAUUAGCUUAACACAUGCAAGUCAAAUAAUAAUUUAUUAUUUUUUUGGCGAACGGGUGAGUAAUACAUAAAAAUUUAUCUUAAAAAAUUAAGGAAAGUUUAUGCAAGAUUAAGUUGUUGGAGAAUUAAUCGCUUUUCCAAGCUUACAAUCUUUAGCUGGUCUUUGAGGAUGAACAGCCACAUUGGAACUGAGAUACGGUCCAAACUUUAUUAAGAGGCAGCAGUGGGGAAUCUUAGGCAAUGAGCGAAAGCUUGACCUAGCUAAAUCAUGUGUGUGAAGAAUGUUAUUAACUGUAAAGCACUUUAUUUAACCAUAUAAUUAUGAUAUUAAGUUAAAAACAAAUCCUGGCUAAUUUCGUGCCAGCAGCCGCGGUAAAACGAGAAGGGUAAGCGUUAUUCGAAUUGAUUGGGCAUAAAGGAUACGUAGACGGAAAAUUAAUUAGAAACUUAAAAGUUAAAAAUUUAAUAAUUAAAGAGAUGUUACAGUAAUUUUCUUGAGUCUGGUGGGAAGAUUAUGGAACUUCAAGUGUAACGGUAAAAUGUAUUGAUACUUGAAAGAACUUCAAUAGCGAAAGCAUUAAUCUAAACCAGUACUGACGUUAAGGUAUGAAAGCAUGGGUAGCAAAAGGGAUUAGAUACCCCUGUAGUCCAUGCCCUCAACGAUGAGUGUUAUUUUUUGGAUAGAAUUCAGAAAAAAAAUUAAUAUGUCAAACACUCCGCCUGGGGACUACGAUCGCAAGAUUAAAACUCAAAGGAAUUGACGGGGACCUGCACAAGUAGUGGAGCAUGUGGUUUAAAUCGAUAAUACGCGCAAAACCUUACCAAUUUUUGUAUGACUUAUCACAGGUGUUGCAUGGCUGUCGUCAGUCCGUGCUUUGAAGUGUUUGGUUUAUUCCAACAAACGGACGAAACUCUUUUGUAUUUUUAAGUUAAUACAUAUUGCUAAGGAUAUCUUAGAAGAAAGAAAGAAUGACGUCAAGUCCUUAUGACCUUAAUAAAUUGGGCUACUUUCAUGUGCUACAAUAGUACUUUCAAUUAGAAGCAAAAAUGAUAGUUUACGCAAAUCUAUAAAAAGUACUAUUCGAAUUGUUUUCUGCAACUUGAAAAUAUGAAGUUGGAAUUACUAGUAAUCGUAAAUAAGAAUGUUACGGUGAAUCGUUUCUCAGGUCUUGUACACACCGCCCGUCACGCUAUGGAAUUUCUUUUACUCGAAAAAUUAGUAAAUAUACUAUAUUUUACGGUAAAAUAUAAACUGAAGUGAAGUCGUAACAAGGUAGCCGUAGGGGAACCUGUGGCUGGAAAAUAAAAUCAUAUAAAAUAACUUUACUACCC